GCAUCGGCUGUGGCCAGCUGAGUGAGGACCUCCUCCAACUCGGGCCCAUCCUCUGGGAAGCGCUCGGAGAAGGAUCGGAUGAGGCCAGCAGCAGAGGCCUCAUACUCGAGAAGCUGUACUUCUGAGUCUGGAGAGGAGAAGGAAAAAAAACAUCAGCAGGUCUUAUUCCUAAUGGACUGUGAACUACUUGAGGCAAGGGCCUGGGUCUGAUUCAUCUCUCCAUCCCCAAGAGCCACAACGGGCUGGACAAUCAAAAUGGUAGGUUCCAUGCCCAGUGUGGGGCUUGAACUCAUGGCUGUGACAUCAAGAGUUGUAUGGUCUACUGAUGGAGCCAGCCAGGCGUCCCAAGGAUUUCCUGUCUGAGGCAAUAAUCUUUGAUUCUGGGCUUAUUAUUCCCUUAUGUUCCCUGAAUUCUGCUCUCGACCAGGUUAUUUUAACUUUUGCUCGUGUCCUGUGAUUUGCUUUUUCUGCUUGAGUUAUGUGUGAGAUUCAUCUGUGUUCGUGCAUGCAGUUCACCCUUCUCACUGCUGUCCACUAUUCCACUCAUAAACACCACAGGUGAAUCUCUUCCCAUGUGAAUGGGCAACUUGUGCUGUCUAGCUCUCAGCACCCUGUGGACACCUUGGGCACCUCCUGAUGAACAGAAUGAACAGGUGCAGGUUUCUCUGGGAGAGUCAGUGGUCUAGAGGUCAAGGGAACGCUCCACCUUAGACGAGCCCACAUUGUUCUCCAAAGUUGCUGUACCAGGUGUUGCUCCCAGAAGCAGUGGCUGUCAGUCCUGCCUGCUCUGUAUACCAGGCUGGUGUUGGCAGCUUCUCAUUUUUGCCAAGCUGGUGGGUAUAAAGCUCAUGUGAUUUAAACUGUGCUUUUCUGAUUGCCCAAGAGGUUGAAUAUCUUCCCGCAAGUUGAUGUGUUAUUCAUUUUCUUCUU